UAUCGGCUGCGGCGAGUAUAAACAGCCCUUAAGCCCGGCGCGUGGCCACCGCAAUGGUGGCCGGUGGGA
rnacentral:ribozyme from 1 species